AAAGAAAGAAAUUAAAAUCUCUCUCCUUCUCUUUCACAUACGCAAGCCGCAGCACCCCCUGUGUUUUCGCUCGCUUCAAGCCCUAGCCACCAACCUACCUCAGAUGCUGCCUUGCAUUCCAGAUCUGCUAUAUCGUUGCCUUCGUCUGGGUCGCCGCCGGUAGUGCUAGUCACCUUCAGUCGCUGUUCGCGCCCGUCGCUGACAACAGAUCUCGCCGCUACGCGUUCCAUUGUUGUUCGACCUUCGUCCGUGCGGUCAGGUCUGUGUUAUUCGCCGACAUCCCUCGUUCUAGCCCCACUCGGCCAGUUUCACACGAGUGUCCGUACGUUUGCGCAUCCGAUUGGGGUUGUGUUUCCGUUCCAGCACUAUCGUUCGCUGUAGGUAGCGUCCGAUCUUUCUUAGCUGGUUGGGGUUCCAGACCAGACAUCACCGAAUUCUCUACCACUCGACCCACGUUCAGCCGCCGUUGGUCUUUGUUCUGGAGUUGUCGCCCCCAGCACUGGCGGUCACCGAAACAUCAAUUUUGGAUUCAAGAUUUUGAGGAUUUUGAAGUGCUAUCCAUCAAGUUUAAGACCAAUCUCGACAAUUUUUAUAUCAAAUUAAGUUCGAAGGUUGGAGGUGGAUUCGAAGCAGGCCACAUUUUGGGUAAAAUAACUAAAGCAGUUUACGAGGAAGA